AAAAAAUGAAAAGAAACGAGUGCACUCAAUACGAGUCGGGGUUUGGGUUCGGUUCAGCUCACUUCACCUUUUACCCUUUGUGGUAUCCACGCUCCUCAUUUCUCAACUCCUCAGCUAAAUAAUCAAAACAAAUAUACGUUUGAAUCAGUGAAUUUGGAGAAAUCCGGUUCUGGAAUCGGAAGCAAUAGAGGAUGGGUUCGGCGAUGAAAGCAAUCUACACCGUUGGAUUCUGGAUCCGGGAGACAGGCCAAGCCCUUGAUCGGUUGGGCUGCCGCCUCCAGGGAAACUAUUACUUCCAAGAACACCUGUCGAGGCAUAGAACUUUGAUGAACCUGUUUGACAAAGUACCAGUUGUUGAGAAAGAUGCAUUUGUGGCCCCAAGUGCCUCUAUAAUUGGUGAUGUUCACAUUGGUCGUAGUGCUUCUAUUUGGUAUGGGUGUGUUCUGCGAGGUGAUGUGAACAGUGUCAGCAUUGGAGCCGGAACCAAUGUCCAGGACAAUUCUCUAAUCCAUGUAGCUAAGUCGAAUAUCAGUGGAAAGGUUUUGCCUACGAUAAUUGGCAAAAAUGUUACCAUAGGUCAUAGCGCUGUGUUACAUGGAUGUACUGUUGAAGACGAGGCAUUUAUUGGUAUGGGUGCAACCGUGCUUGAUGGGGCUGUUGUGGAGAAAAAUGCUAUGGUUGCUGCUGGUGCCCAUGUAAGACAGAACACAAGGAUUCCAUUCGGAGAGGUCUGGGGAGGAAAUCCAGCGAGGUUCUUGAGGAAGCUCACAGAAGAAGAAAUAGCAUUCAUCUCAGAGUCAGCCGCAAACUAUUCUAAUUUAGCGCAGGUUCAUGCAGCUGAAAAUGCAAAAGAGUUGGAUAAGAUUGAAUUUGAGAAGGUGCUGCGGAAGAAAUUAGCGCGCAAGGAUGAGGAGUAUGACUCUAUGUUGGGUGUUGGUGAAACACCUCCAGAGCUUGUCCUGCCUGAUAGUAGCCUGCCAGACAAGGCACCAAAGGCCUCCUAAGUGUGGUUUCCGUCUGGGGUAUCCUGGGAUUUUGUGAUAUUAUUGGGUAACUCUUUUUGUUUUGGGCGGAUUAACGUCAAAAUGCCUGUGAUUAGUUUCCAAUAAUUAAGGCCAAGCUGAAAUAUCAAAGUUUAAUACAGUAGGUGAAAUACAGUCAAAGCGAAUGCCGCACUGUCUUUGAAUGUGCAGGGAAUCCCAGAAAGCAAUUCAAUAACUAUGGCCUAUGGGUGUACACUUUUUAAGAUAUGGUGGCCAAUUAAGACAUUCAAAACAAAAUGAAAUUUAUUUUUUUGAAGAUCGUACAUACCUUUUGAAUAAGUUGCGUAAAGGCUGGGGACACCAGACCCUCUUCAAAACUUUAUACAUUUGUGGACACAGCGUUAGUAUUUCUCUUUAAAGUUUCAAUACAGCACAACAUUAACAAUU